CAAAGUUGAUCGUGUUUAUGACGUCGAAUAUCGACGUCAUAAACACCAAAGUUGAUCGUGUUUAUGACGUCGAAUAUCGACGUCAUAAACACCAAAG